UUUUACGGGCGGGUCGUGUGGGGAGCCUUCGGGCUCGCCGGUUCCUUUGUCCGGUACGCCAACUCGCACGAUUCCGCCCACCCG
rnacentral:antisense_RNA from 21 species